UACGAAGGGGGCUAGCGUUGCUCGGAAUCACUGGGCGUAAAGGGCGCGUAGGCGGCCAUUCAAGUCGGAGGUGAAAGCCCAGGGCUCAACCCUGGAAUUGCCUUCGAUACUGUUUGGCUAGAGACCGGAAGAGGUAAGUGGAACUGCGAGUGUAGAGGUGAAAUUCGUAGAUAUUCGCAAGAACACCAGUGGCGAAGGCGGCUUACUGGUCCGGUACUGGACGCUGAGACGCGAAAGCGUGGGGAG
rnacentral:rRNA from 1 species